CCUACGGGAGGCAGCAGUGAGGAAUAUUGGUCAAUGGCCGGGAGCCUGAACCAGCCAAGUCGCGUGAGGGACGAAGGUGCUAAGUAUUGUAAACCUCUUUUGCCAGGGGACAAAGUCAGCCACGGGUGGCCGUAAGAGGGUACCUGGAGAAAAAGCAUCGGCUAACUCCGUGCCAGCAGCCGCGGUAAUACGGAGGAUGCGAGCGUUAUCCGGAUUUAUUGGGUUUAAAGGGUGCGCAGGCGGCGUGUCAAGUCAGCGGUAAAAUGUCGGGGCUCAACCCCGGCCGGCCGUUGAAACUGGCGUUCUUGAGUUGGCGAGAAGUAUGCAGAAUGCGCGGUGUAGCGGUGAAAUGCAUAGAUAUCGCGAAGAACCCCGAUUGCGAAGGCAGCAUACCGGCUCCACACUGACGCUGAGGCACGAAAGCGUGGGUAUCGAACAGGAUUAGAUACCCCUGUAGUC
rnacentral:rRNA from 1 species